rnacentral:pre_miRNA from 1 species
AUUACCCAGGGAUCUUGUUAAAAAGCAGAAUCGGAUCCAGCAGGUGUGGGCGGGGCCUGAGAGUCUGCAUUUCUACCAAGUGCUCAGGUGAUGCUGA